UACGUAGGGGGCUAGCGUUGUCCGGAAUCAUUGGGCGUAAAGCGCGUGUAGGCGGUCCGGUAAGUCCGCUGUGAAAGUCGAGGGCUCAACCCUCGAAUGCCGGUGGAUACUGUCGGGCUAGAGUGCGGAAGAGGCGAGUGGAAUUCCUGGUGUAGCGGUGAAAUGCGUAGAUAUCGGAAGGAACACCAGUGGCGAAAGCGGCUUCCUGGUCCAGCAUCGACGUUCAGGCACGAAAGCGUGGGGAGCAAACAGG
rnacentral:rRNA from 1 species